ensembl:snoRNA
AUCCUUUUGUGGUUCAUAAGCGUGAUGACUGGGUUUGCACACGGCUGUGUGACAUGUGCCUCCCUCCCACCUUGUUACAAUUUCAGAAUCAGGCU